rnacentral:tRNA from 1 species
GGGGUUGUAGCUCAGUAGUAGAGUGUUUACCUAUGUAUGCAAGGCCUUGGGUUCAAUCCCCAACACCAUCA